GGCGACAUUUAACGUAUAUAUCUAUGGACGCUAACUAGUAUUCACGUCGUAUCAUGCUCAACUCUUAAUACUCUUUUACGCACUUUGAGAGUGUUUGCGUUAUUUCAGAGAGAUAUUUAAGCACAUAUGAAGUAACAGUGCCAUCUGUGUACUAUAGCUACACAAUGCAGCAUUUAGCUCGCUCGUAAACAUCGCUGCUGUCCUCAGAUCAUUGUCUGAGCAGAAGUUUCAUCAUUAGCCCUGCCUGUCAGAUGCUCUUCAUCUCAGGAGCUGUAUUUUUAGAUGCUUGAUAACAGAUAUAAGGUGAGUUAAUAGAACACAGCCAGGAACUCUUCUGCGCGAGUCAGCGUGACGUGCGUGCGCGGGCUCAUCAUUUGAAUUAAAUAACGGACACAAGCAACGGGCGGAACGGUAAUGAAAGAGAUGGUCUCCUCGCAAGAGAAGCUAGCAGCAUUGAAUGGGGAAGCUUGCUAUUUCUUUCGCUGGAAUCUCCAAUUGAAAACAUCAUCGUGUGCGCUUAGACUUCUGUUCCAGUUCUGACUACACACCACUCUGCUUAUGUGGAUCACUGACUACUAUGUUCUCUGAAGUGGGGGAAACCGGAGCACCUGGAGGAAACCCACGCAAACUCCACACAGAGACGCCAACUGAUCCAGCCAAGGCUCGAACCAACGACCUUCUUGCUGUGAGGCGCCACUGCAGCGCAGUACCAGAAGCAGGUGCAGCCAAACUGCGACACAACAGCCACGGAAUUUACAGGGCCGUG
ensembl:processed_transcript